AGCCUGAACGCUGGCGGCGUGGCUAAGACAUGCAAGUCGUACGGGUGUAGCAAUACACCAGUGGCGCACGGGUGAGUAAUGUAUAGUUAACCUACCCCUUACUCUGGGAUAGCUAGCCGAAAGGCUAGGUAAUACCAGAUGACAUUCCGGUGUCGCAUGGCACUGGACUCAAAGGGCAACUGGUUUGGGAUGGGACUAUAUUGUAUCAGCUAGUUGGUAAGGUAAUGGCUUACCAAGGCUUUGACGCAUAGCCGGACUGAGAGGUCGGACGGCCACAUCGAAACUGAGACACUGUUCGGACUCCUACGGGGGGCUGCAGUAACGAAUCUUCCGCAAUGCACGAAAGUGUGACGGAGCGACGCCGCGUGUGGGACGAAGUCCUUCGGGAUGUAAACCACUGUCAAGAGAAGAAAGUUCUGAUCUACUCUAAAGGAAGGGGCGACUAACUCUGCGCCAGCAGCCGCGGUAA
rnacentral:rRNA from 1 species